CUGGCUCAGAUUGAACGCUGGCGGCAUGCCUUAUACACCUGCAAGUCGAACGGCAGCGCGGGGCAACCUGGCGGCGAGUGGCGAACGGGUGAGUAAUAUAUCGGAACGUACCCUAGAGUGGGGGAUAACGUAGCGAAAGUUACGCUAAUACCGCAUACGAUCUACGGAUGAAAGUGGGGGAUCGCAAGACCUCAUGCUCGUGGAGCGGCCGAUAUCUGAUUAGCUAGUUGGUAGGGUAAAAGCCUACCAAGGCGACGAUCAGUAGCUGGUCUGAGAGGACGACCAGCCACACUGGAACUGAGACACGGUCCAGACUCCUACGGGAGGCAGCAGUGGGGAAUUUUGGACAAUGGGGGCAACCCUGAUCCAGCAAUGCCGCGUGUGUGAAGAAGGCCUUCGGGUUGUAAAGCACUUUUGGCGGGAACGAAACGGGUCUUUCUAAUAUAGAGACCUAAUGACGGUACCCGCAGAAUAAGCACCGGCUAACUACGUGCCAGCAGCCGCGGUAAUACGUAGGGUGCAAGCGUUAAUCGGAAUUACUGGGCGUAAAGCGUGCGCAGGCGGUUAUGCAAGACAGAUGUGAAAUCCCCGGGCUUAACCUGGGCACUGCAUUUGUGACUGCAUGGCUAGAAUCUGGCAGAGGGGGGUAGAAUUCCACGUGUAGCAGUGAAAUGCGUAGAGAUGUGGAGGAACACCGAUGGCGAAGGCAGCCCCCUGGGCUAAGAUUGACGCUCAUGCACGAAAGCGUGGGGAGCAAACAGGAUUAGAUACC
rnacentral:rRNA from 1 species